rnacentral:rRNA from 1 species
GUAGGUGGCAAGCGUUGUCCGGAAUUAUUGGGCGUAAAGCGCGCGCAGGCGGUUCUUUAAGUCUGAUGUGAAAGCCCACGGCUCAACCGUGGAGGGUCAUUGGAAACUGGAGAACUUGAGUACAGAAGAGGAAAGCGGAAUUCCACGUGUAGCGGUGAAAUGCGUAGAGAUGUGGAGGAACACCAGUGGCGAAGGCGGCUUUCUGGUCUGUAACUGAGGCUGAGGCGCGAAAGCGUGGGGAGCAAACAGGGAUUAGAUACCCUGGUAGUCCACGCCGUAAACGAUGAGUGCUAAGUGUUAGGGGGGUUUCCGCCCCCUUAGUGCUGCAGCUAACGCAUUAAGCACUCCGCCCUGGGGAGUACGGCCGCAAGGCUG